GAGAUCCAGCUCACUUUCCCAUGACGGCUGGACUCAAUUAUCGGCUCAGAAAAACCACCGCGUUGAGGUGAAUUUAGAUGUGAUUGUCUGCCGAAUGGAGAAAAAGAGUCCAGCGCUACAGUGACAGAUUCUUGGAGUUUCCUGGUGUGGAGUCCCCAAAGAAAAGAUACAUCAAUAGGGAGACACUCAUGCUCCUUUUCUUUUGGAUCUGGCCUGCAGAUUGCAACAGAUUGGACAUCUGGAAAGCCGGCAGGAUUCCCAGGUGGGCUGAUCCAUCUGUCUGGCGUGGGUCUGAUAAAUAAAGAUUAUGUGUUUUACAUUUAUUUACAUAUUUUGUUCUGGCCAUGGCAAGUUCAAAGGAUUUCAUUUUAUGACACAGACUGCAGCCACUAGGAAUGAAUGCUUCUAACAGCUACCAUUGAAAUGUAUGUAGAUACAGUAAGUGUAAUAGUCAUUGGUGAAGUUUUCUUUUUUUUUGCUUCAAUUAUCAAUUUAAAAAUCAAAUUAUUAAUUCAAAAGUGAACCUUUUUUAUAGGUGUAGUUAAAUAUAAUGGUAAAAUAAUAUAUUUUUUUAAACUGAGAAAAUAAAAAGACAAAUUUAAAAUUAUGCUAUAUUUUU
ensembl:lncRNA